GUUCAGCCCACGCCCACUUGCCACUGACCUGAGGCAUCCAGUCAUCAGGUCCUCACUUUCCUGCCUUCUCCUUGAGGACACAGCCUGGCAGACAGGAUGUCACUGCUGGAAGCAUUCACCUUCUUGUCCUUCUGGGCUGUUGGACUUGGGUUAACAAAAGUGGAGCAGUCCCAGAUAUCAAUUUCCACAGAAGUAAAGAAAAGUAUUAACAUACAUUGCAAGAUAACGAGCUCAGAUUUUGCAGGGGAAUACAUUCACUGGUACCGGCAGAAACCAAAGAAGGCUUUGGAGCAUCUGAUUUACGUGAGCUCAACAAAAUCCCCAGCUCGAGCUAACUUAGGUGGGAAGAAAAAUAAACUUGAAGCAAGGAAGGAUUCUCAAACUUCCACUUCAAUCCUUACCGUAAAUUUCAUAGAAAAUGAAGAUGUGGCCAUCUACUACUGUGCUGGAUGGGACCACAAAGGGAUAAAGAAAUUUGGAGAAGGGACCAAGCUCAUAGUAACUCCCUCUGACAGACGCCUUCCUGCAGACAUUUCCCCCAAGCCCACCAUUUUUCUUCCUUCAGUUGCUGAAAUCAACCUCCACAAGGCUGGGACAUUUCUUUGUCUUCUUGAGAAUUUCUUCCCAGAUGUUAUAAAGGUAUAUUGGAAAGAAAACGAUGGCAAUACAAUUCUGGAAUCCCAGCAGGGAAAUACCAUGAAGACUGACAACACAUACAUGAAAUUUAGCUGGCUGACCGUGACUGGAAAGUCAAUGGAUAAAGAACACAAAUGUAUUGUCCAACACGAGAAAAAUAAAGGAGGGGUUGACCAGGAGAUUCUUUUUCCAUCAGUGAACAAAGUUGUCACCUCAAUGGCCAGUGCUGUUGGUUCUACAACGGCUUAUCCGACAGAGAAGAGCACUGUCACUGUUGCUGAUUCCACAACAGCUUCCCCAACAGAGCGAAGUGAGAUCGCUGCUGUUAAUUCUACAAAAGCUUGUCUGAAAGAUGAGAGCACCCCCCUGCAGCUGCAGCUCACCAGCACCUCUGCCUAUUACACCUACCUCCUCCUCCUCCUCAAGAGCGUGGUCUACCUAGCCAUCAUCGCCUCCUGUCUGUUUAGGAGAACAGAAGUCUGUGGCGAUGGAAAGAGUUCAUAACAGAUGGUGGCGCAAAGAGGUCAACUUGUCUUCAUCAUUUAUUGUCCCUAAAAGCGUCUCCUGAGGAUCUAGCUGGUGUUUCUUUCUGGGUUUGAGUUAUUUCAGUUCACAUGUGUAAUUUUCUGUUAUGUCAUGAUUGUCAUGGUUUUUCAAACCACUGGGAUAACUGUACCAACGAGUUCUGCCGUUACUCAGGGGCAGGGCCACGGGUCGUCCUUUAGCAUCACUCUCUCCAUGAUCUCCAUCAGCUCCUCCAGCAACCUGAAUAACCAUGCCUUCUGAGUACAGACAGCAUGCAGCUCUAGUCACCUCCCUUAGGGCCAUUUAACCAAAACCGCCUUGAAGCCUUCCAUUUUGCACACCCUGAACCUGACACCUUUGCUACUUGAAUUCUGGACAUUGUUUUUCAUAAUACGCACAAUAAAAAAAUCAAAAGUCUA